UCCUACGGGAGGCAGCAGUGGGGAAUAUUGCACAAUGGGCGAAAGCCUGAUGCAGCGACGCCGCGUGAAGGAUGAAGUAUUUCGGUAUGUAAACUUCUAUCAGCAGGGAAGAAAAUGACGGUACCUGACUAAGAAGCCCCGGCUAACUACGUGCCAGCAGCCGCGGUAAUACGUAGGGGGCAAGCGUUAUCCGGAUUUACUGGGUGUAAAGGGAGCGUAGACGGCCAGACAAGUCAGAAGUGAAAGCCCAGGGCUCAACCCUGGGACUGCUUUUGAAACUGCCGGGCUGGAGUGCAGGAGCGGUA
rnacentral:rRNA from 1 species